AGAACAUGUUCCCCUCGAUCAACGUACACAAGCUCAACCUCAACAGCAUAAAAAGAUGCGUGCUGUUAAAUUAUGAUCCCGUGUCCCAAGAGGUGGAGUUUCGUCAUUACAGCUUGAAGGUGGUGCCUGUGGGCAUGAGUCGAGGGGUGAAGAAGCUCAUGCAGGAGAAGUUCCCCAACAUGAGCAAGCUGGAGGACAUCAGCGAGCUCCUC